rnacentral:rRNA from 1 species
UACGUAGGGGCCUAGCGUUGUCCGGAUUUAUUGGGCGUAAAGAGCGCGUAGGCGGUCUGAUAAGUCGGUUGUGAAAGUCGGGGGCUCAACCCUCGGAUGCCGAUCGAUACUGUCAGGCUAGAGUCCGGAAGAGGCGAGUGGAAUUCCUGGUGUAGCGGUGAAAUGCGUAGAGAUCCGGAAGAACACCGGUGGCGAAGGCGGUC